AAUCUACCCCCGAAUUGGGGAUAACAUUGCGAAAGCGAUGCUAAUACCGAAUGAUAUCUUAAGUACCCCGGUAUUUAAGAUCAAAGGUGGCCUCUACAUGUAAGCUAUUGUUUGGGGAUGAGCCCGCGUACCAUUAGCUUGUUGGUAGGGUAACGGCCUACCAAGGCUGCGAUGGUUAGCUGGUCUGAGAGGAUGAUCAGCCACACUGGAACUGACACACGGUCCAG
rnacentral:rRNA from 1 species